CUCUCUCUCUCUCUCUCUCUCUCUCUCUCUCCUGCAGAAUGUAAAGUAUGGAGAAAUCCGCUGAAUUUAUUUCGUGGAGCCGAAUAUAAUCGAUAUACGUGGGUAACGGGUCGAGAGCCGCUCACAUAUUACGAUAUGAACCUUUCGGCACAAGACCAUCAGACCUUCUUCACGUGCGACUCGGACCACCUCCGGCCUGCUGACGCCGUAAUGCAGAAGGCGUGGAGAGAGAGAAACCCACAGGCUCGCAUCUCUGCAGCACAUGAAGCUCUGGAGGUGGAAGAGUGAGUUC